rnacentral:rRNA from 1 species
UACGUAGGGGGCAAGUGUUGUCCGGAUUUAUUGGGCGUAAAGAGCGUGUAGGCGGCCACACAGGUCAGCUGUGAAAACUCGAGGCUCAACCUCGAGACGUCGGUUGAAACCGUAUGGCUAGAGUCCGGAAGAGGAGAGUGGAAUUCCCGGUGUAGCGGUGAAAUGCGCAGAUAUCGGGAAGAACACCCGUGGCGAAGGCGGCUCUCUGGGACGGUACUGACGCUGAGACGCGAAAGCGUGGGGGAGCGAACAGG